rnacentral:rRNA from 1 species
GACGAACGCUGGCGGCGUGCUUAACACAUGCAAGUCGAACGAUGAUGCUCUUGCUUGCAAGGGUGGAUUAGUGGCGAACGGGUGAGUAACACGUGGGUGAUCUGCCCUGCACUUUGGGAUAAGCCUGGGAAACUGGGUCUAAUACCGAAUAUUUACAUCACUGUAGGGGUGGUGUGGAAAGCUUUUGCGGUGUGGGAUGAGCCUGCGGCCUAUCAGCUUGUUGGUGGGGUAAUGGCCUACCAAGGCGUCGACGGGUAGCCGGCCUGAGAGGGUGAACGGCCACAAGGGGACUGAGACACGGCCCUU